CUUCAGAGGAUCUAUCCAGAAACGCAUGGCAGUGGAGAGUCAGGACCUGGAGCUCCUAUGGCUAGAAGCCUGACAGCCUCCAAGUGCCCAGGGUACUGGCAGAGUGGCAUUCCAGGAACACUGCACUGAGGCAAAGGUCUCCUACAUCUCAAGAGGAGGUGAGGAGACAGAGAAGAGAGUGGAGGUGUGGAUGUGAAGCGAAGAUGGGCGGCCUAGGACCCCCAGGGGAGAAAGUCUCUGGCACCCAGAUGUCUGAGGCCCCUGAGGCCCCUGAAGAUGGUCCUGGUGAUGACAUCCUUGGCGCCGACGACUCGGACUUGGUGCCCUCGGUGACUCUGGCUGUGACCCUCAUACUGUUGUUCCUUCUGUUGUCAGCCUGGCUGGCGUGGCCACCCUGCCAAGCUUCCUACUAAAGAAACGCAUGUGGCCAGCUAUAAGGCAUGCGCCCUUGCGAACUCAGGCCACUGCAGCUCAGCCUCGCCCCUUCCCUGGCUUGCUGGUUGGCUUUUAUUGUCCUCAUCUUCGGAAGGCUGUGCGAGCAACUGAAGCGGAUAGGCUGAGGAGCCUGCGAAGACGUGCUGGUAUUGACCUCCCUCUGGCGGCUGAAGAUAGAAUUACACCAUCUGCAUAGCAGUCCCCCGGGGUGACUGGGCAAAGG